rnacentral:miRNA from 1 species
AAGGCUGCUCGGCCCGCGCUGC